rnacentral:rRNA from 1 species
CGCAGCAGGCGCGAAAACUUUACAAUGCAGGAAACUGUGAUAAGGAGACACCGAGUGCUCGCAUCAAAUGCGGGCUGUCCGCUUACUUAAAUCGUAAGCGUUAGCAAGGGCCGGGCAAGACCGGUGCCAGCCGCCGCGGUAAUACCGGUGGCCCGAGUGGUAGCCGCUUUUAUUGGGUCUAAAGGGUCCGUAGCCGGUUCGGUCAGUCCAUUGGGAAAUCCGGAUGCUCAACAUCCGGGCUUCCAGUGGAUACUGCCGAACUUGGGAUCGGGGGAGGUAAGAGGUACUAUAGGGGUAGGAGUGGAAUCUUGUAAUCCCUGUGGGACCACCUGUGGCGAAGGCGUCUUACCAAAACGAGUCCGACGGUGAGGGACGAAAGCUGGGGGCACGAACCGGAUUAGAUACCCGGGUAGUCCCAGCCGUAAACGAUGCUCGCUAGGUGUCAGGCAUGGCGUGACUGUGUUUGGUGCCGAAGGGAAGCCGUGAAGCGAGCCACCUGGGAAGUACGGCCGCAAGGCUGAAACUUAAAGGAAUUGGCGGGGGAGCACAACAACGGGUGGAGCCUGCGGUUUAAUUGGACUCAA